AACAAAUCCUAGUAAACUGGGGUUGCGGUGGCCAACAAAUUCUUGUCAAAUGUUUUCUGUUGUUUUCCUCAAGUCCGCUGUUCAUGAUGUCCGGCUCAUCCCAGCGUGUGGCAGCUCCACUAGGCACUAGGACAGAUCUUCAACCAUCCGAAAUAAUCGGGAAGAUAGUAGGUGAAACUGAAAACGGAUGUUGCACGUUCAAAGCAGGUUGCGCUAGCCGUUUGUGAUGAGCCUGGCCACGAAGAUCAUGAUGUCGAGAAUUUCUUUGAUUUUAGAACUUUCUGUGAUUCCCAGUAGAAGUUUUUGAAAGAUCACGGUGUUUUCAUCUGUUAUGAUAUGACAUCAGGUACGAACAAAGAAAUCCCUGGCCAUGUACAAGACCCUGACAGCAAAAUCAUGAAAAUAAAAUAAAAAAUCAUUGAAUAAAAACCUGCA